AUCAUCUUUCUGCCUGGCUGUGUCCCACAAAGUCAGCUCUACCCGUUUCCCAUCCACCUCGAUACGGGACACAUAGUUCUGAAACCCUGAGGGUGCGUACCCCUCUGGGAACUGCUCCUUGCUGAAGACAAUGAGCAAGCACGUCUUGCCACAGACUCCGUCACCGACAAUUACCAGCUUCUUCUGGAUGGGAGCCAUUGCUGGAGGACACUGGCCUGGGUGGCUGAAAUUGUGCAAAGUACCUUGAACUUCUCAGAGGACAGGCUCAGGCGACGAAUCGGAGUCCAGUCUCUUCGUGCCCAGGACGCGAGUCGCAAGCUGGGAAAGCAAGGCUGGUAACUGAACAGGAGACCACGGACUCACGAGAGAACCGAUGGAGGACGCAGGAAGGGAGCGCGAGCCACCCAGGGCGGGCGGCCUCUACCUGAUUUGAAAACUCUUACAGAUAUUGUAACAGCUGCUGAGUCUCUGAUUGGGUAUGAAGCCCUAACUCUGACUCCCACUACGCUAGUUCAAACAGAAUUAAGUCAGCAGAGCCACCACACAAACUCUCCUUUUAAAUUGAGCUACAAGGACUCCACAAUCAUAAAGCAGCCAAGAAAACCAGGAAUUUUGAAGAAAGUCAAGAAAAUUACUGAAGGCCAAGAAAUUAAGCCUAGUGGACAAUUCACCUAGCAUAAGAAGCAUGGUGGACUAUAAAGACAUUGAUCACUGAAGUUAUGUAUACAUGCAGAAAAGAGAGUCAGAAAGCAUAUAUUAAAUAAAAGAGAAAACCAAAAUUGUUUUGAAAUUAUCUCUC
rnacentral:lncRNA from 1 species